AUUUUUUUUUAGGGGAAACUCCGCCCAAAUUUUGAGAGAGAAGAAGAAGAAGGGAGAGUUUGGGAGAUAUGAAGAAGGCUUGCUUGGAUAACAAGUUUGAUGCUUACAAGAAGUCAAUGUUUCACUUGAGAGGAGAUUUUUGGUGCCUAUUUGCUGCCUAGUUCUACCCCAUUUGCAUUUUAUGUAAAUCAUUCUCUUUUGAUGUUAGUUUUGUUAUCUUUGACCUUUGAUUUGAGUUGUAUAUGUUGGGUGAUCCCUGCUUUGUAUGAUAUCAUUACUUAUGUUUGUGAACUAACCUAUCCUUUCUUAUGUAAGCCUCCUGCCCUUGUUUUAGGCAUUAUUGAGGUACA